AGUUUGAUCCUGGCUCAGGACGAACGCUGGCGGCGUGCCUAAUACAUGCAAGUCGAACGCUUCUUUCCUCCCGAGUGCUUGCACUCAAUUGGAAAGAGGAGUGGCGGACGGGUGAGUAACACGUGGGUAACCUACCCAUCAGAGGGGGAUAACACUUGGAAACAGGUGCUAAUACCGCAUAACAGUUUAUGCCGCAUGGCAUAAGAGUGAAAGGCGCUUUCGGGUGUCGCUGAUGGAUGGACCCGCGGUGCAUUAGCUAGUUGGUGAGGUAACGGCUCACCAAGGCCACGAUGCAUAGCCGACCUGAGAGGGUGAUCGGCCACACUGGGACUGAGACACGGCCCAGACUCCUACGGGAGGCAGCAGUAGGGAAUCUUCGGCAAUGGACGAAAGUCUGACCGAGCAACGCCGCGUGAGUGAAGAAGGUUUUCGGAUCGUAAAACUCUGUUGUUAGAGAAGAACAAGGACGUUAGUAACUGAACGUCCCCUGACGGUAUCUAACCAGAAAGCCACGGCUAA
rnacentral:rRNA from 1 species